rnacentral:rRNA from 1 species
GAUGAACGCUGGCGGCGUGCCUAAUACAUGCAAGUCGAGCGAACAGACGAGGAGCUUGCUCCUCUGACGUUAGCGGCGGACGGGUGAGUAACACGUGGAUAACCUACCUAUAAGACUGGGAUAACUUCGGGAAACCGGAGCUAAUACCGGGUAAUAUAUUGAACCGCAUGGUUCAAUAGUGAAAGACGGUUUUGCUGUCACUUAUAGAUGGAUCCGCGCCGCAUUAGCUAGUUGGUAAGGUAACGGCUUACCAAGGCAACGAGGCGUAGCCGACCUGAGAGGGUGAUCGGCCACACUGGAACUGAGACACGGUCCAGACUCCUACGGGAGGCAGCAGUAGGGAAUCUUCCGCAAUGGGCGAAAGCCUGACGGAGCAACGCCGCGUGAGUGAUGAAGGUCUUCGGAUCGUAAAACUCUGUUAUUAGGGAAGAACAAAUGUGUAAGUAACUAUGCACGUCUUGACGGUACCUAAUCAGAAAGCCACGGCUAACUACGUG